rnacentral:rRNA from 1 species
UACGUAGGUGGCAAGCGUUGUCCGGAUUUACUGGGCGUAAAGGGCGCGUAGGCGGCCAGCACAAGUCAGUUGUGAAAUCUCCGAGCUUAACUCGGAACGGUCAACUGAUACUGUGCGGCUAGAGUGCAGAAGGGGCAACUGGAAUUCUUGGUGUAGCGGUGAAAUGCGUAGAUAUCAAGAGGAACACCUGCGGCGAAGGCGGGUUGCUGGGCUGACACUGACGCUGAGGCGCGAAAGCUAGGGGAGCGAACGGG